rnacentral:rRNA from 1 species
AGAGUUUGAUCCUGGCUCAGGAUUAACGUUGGUAGUAUGCCUAACACAUGCAAGUCGAGCGGAGAGUAGUAGCAAUACUGCUUUUAGCGGCGAACGGGUGAGUAAUACUUAUCUUACUUGCCAAUUAGUGGGGGACAACCAUGGGAAACUGUGGCUAAUACCGCAUUUGUUACUUCGGUAAUAAAAGGAAGUCGUAAGAU